rnacentral:lncRNA from 1 species
UUUAGGUUAAAAAUAGGGGAAACUUCAAAUACCAUCCCUAUGAUUUCACGUUUUCUCAUUUCAGUAUUCUGUGAUUUAAAAUGUAUCAAUUUAGUGCCAUGUGGUUUCAUUUUUAUCUUUUUAUUAUCGAUUCCACUAAUUUUUGCAUUAAAUCAGUGACAAAGUUAAAAAUAAGGAUACUAAAGUGAAUAUUCGAUAAACCUAGGUGGGGUAUCUGAAGUUUUUUAUAUAUAAUUUAACGAUAUAUUAAUGAAAAAGCUGACGAAAAAAUAAAAAUGAAAUCACAGGACACUAACUUGAUACACUUUAAACCACGGGGUACUAAAAUGAAAAAGUGCAAAAUCACAUGGGUGGUAUUUGAAGUUUGCCCUUAAAAAUAUAUUGAGCGUAUCUGAACUAUAGUCCAUUUUGAAUCAACUACCUAAUAUUCAAAAUUUGGAUUUUACUAUCAAAAGCGUUUGUUUGAAUUAGUUAAUGG